rnacentral:rRNA from 1 species
AUGCACGCUGGCGGCGUGCCUAAUACAUGCAAGUCGAGCGAACAGACGAGGAGCUUGCUCCUCUGACGUUAGCGGCGGACGGGUGAGUAACACGUGGAUAACCUACCUAUAAGACUGGGAUAACUUCGGGAAACCGGAGCUAAUACCGGAUAAUAUAUUGAACCGCAUGGUUCAAUAGUGAAAGACGGUUUUGCUGUCACUUAUAGAUGGAUCCGUGCCGCAUUAGCUAGUUGGUAAGGUAACGGCUUACCAAGGCAACGAUGCGUAGCCGACCUGAGAGGGUGAUCGGCCACACUGGAACUGAGACACGGUCCAGACUCCUACGGGAGGCAGCAGUAGGGAAUCUUCCGCAAUGGGCGAAAGCCUGACGGAGCAACGCCGCGUGAGUGAUGAAGGUCUUCGGAUCGUAAAACUCUGUUAUUAGGGAAGAACAAAUGUGUAAGUAACUAUGCACGUCUUGACGGUACCUAAUCAGAAAGCCGCGGCUAACUACGUG